rnacentral:tRNA from 1 species
UAUAGGCUCAGUUGGUAGAGUGCUUGCCUCAUAUGUACAAGGUCCUGGGUUAAAUCCCCAGCACCAUAA